CGGGAGUAACAUGUAGGGAACAUCGUAUGUACCCUAUUUUAAGUCCACUAUAUAGUGCCCUAUAUAGUGGACCACUGAGAAUUCGAACACCCUAGAAAAUGGUGGGCCAGGUGAAGAGUCCAGGUGUCGGCUGACCGCCCCAUGUCCACAGAGGGUCCACUGGUCUGCUCCCACCCACACCUGAGCAGGGCGUCCCCUCGGCUCUCUGGAGCAGACGGACACAUGUUUGAUGAGCCCCCUCCCGGACCACUCAACCACCCAGACCCUGAUACGGUUAGCACGAUUUUGAUUAAUCGCCCAGCCCUAGUGUGAUGCCGGCCCAGCCGGACCCCAGGGGUACCUACGGCUGGCGUUGAGGACCACCUCCUGGACCGGGGGAGACAGAACCUGGCUGGGGGGGUCCACCACAGCAUAGGGUCUCAGUCUCUCAGCUGAAACACAGCCGGGCACGGCCCCAAACGACAUGGCAAUACAUCUCUGAUACAGGGCGUUGCUCCCAUAGCGGGUUUGAACUAGGCACAAGGCAAAUUAAAAACAUAUUCAAAACAAGGCAUUUUCUGAACUAUCGGUUUUGGCAUUUACUGUAUAAUGGCCGAUUAAUGAAUAUUUAAAAACAUCAAUAAUGUUUUUUUGUUUUUUUGGGUAUUGUGUUUUUGUUCAAAGGACUUUGAG
ensembl:lncRNA